UUUAGUUAGAUAGCAUUACAUGUUAUGAUCAACUCCGACAAAAUAUUUCACCAGUGAAUUGGUAAGAAACACUAACUAAUAGACAAUUAAAUAAAAGCAAUUUCCUAAAUAAUUACACGAGGAAAUAACACAGUAGCCUAGUAGUUAUUGAUGCAUAGAAAUCCCACACACAUGAACAAGAAGAAAGAGCUCCAAAACCAGAAGCUGAACAAGCAAAAGCUCAUCCAGCAGCCAUUGCAGGUGAAGGAGCCAACUCUACCUCAUUAGCAAGAACAGCCACUCAAAAACCCGCCAUUACAAGCAACAAGAGACACAUUGCAUCAUAAAAGCCGUAUCCAAGAUAUUGUCAAUGUCAAUAAUGUAGGUUUUUAGGUAACCAAAGGAAUAGACCUUGCAAUUUUUACUGAAAAUCUUGAAUUAUGGAUUUGGGUCUCCUUGCUUCUCCCAGUGUUCACAUGUGCUGCUAAAAUUUGUUCACGGGGUUGCAGAUUGUCAUUCAUCCACAGAGCCAGUUUUGCCACGUUUUGCUAUAAAUGUAUAAAAGAAAUAUUUGGGUUAAGAAAUGAGGAUAAGAGGUUUCUUGUUUUCUUGACCGUAAGACUUUAACCUAAAGAGGGAAAAAGCAUAUAUAUCUUCUGCACCAAUGGAUUGGCCCAUACCUGGAGCCCUUUCAGAAAUUUAUAUCAAAGGACACGCAUUUAAAUGUUAUAUAUAUAUAUAUAUAUAUAUAUAUAUAAAGCUAACUAUUAACCUCAAAAACAAUUAAGGUUGUCUUAUUUCUUUGUAGAACAUUUGAAACAUACAAAUGAGAAGAAAAGAGUUUAAUCUCCCAGAAUUAACAAUUUAAAAUAAAAUAAAAAUAGAAGGUAUAUAGUGAAUGCUUUCUUUUUUCUUUUUUCUUUUUCAAGAAGCUUUCUUUUUUAACUCUCCUUCUCUUUUGUCUUUCUUUUUCUUUUUUCUUUUUCUUUUUUUUUUUUUUUAUUUUACAACUUAUUGAAGGUAGAGUGCAAUGAAAGAGGCAAGGAAGGCACCGAGCAACGAUCCAAGAACCGGCAAGCUAGCAACGGCAGCGCUUGCUGGUGGAUUGGCAGCUGCCGGCGAAGCAGCUGGCUCCUCAAUAUCAGCCAUCACUGCACUCAUGGAGGCAACAGCAAAGAAGACAGCACAGGCAAUCUUCUUCUUCAUUUCCAUUUUUGGAUUAGGCAGAGAACAGCAAAUAGCUCCAAAAUAAUUUAUCGAAACGUUUUGCUGAAUCUGCCUUUCCUUUGAAUACAGAUUUUAAUGGAAGCCUGAAAAGUAAUGGCUGCAUGGUAGGAUAUAUAUAUAUGAGUAUUUGUUCCGUACAUUAUGGGUCUUUUUCUUUUUUUUCCUUUUUUCUAUUUUUAGGUUAAAAGGUAAUAUAUUUAGUUUUCAUAUAUUUUUGUCGUUUGAUUAAUUAAUAAUUAACUAGCUGCUGUAAUGAUUUUUGACUUCUAAA
rnacentral:lncRNA from 1 species